AUUGAACGCUGGCGGAAUGCUUUACACAUGCAAGUCGAACGGUAACAGGUCUUCGGAUGCUGACGAGUGGCGAACGGGUGAGUAAUAUAUCGGAACGUGCCCAGUCGUGGGGGAUAACGUAGCGAAAGUUACGCUAAUACCGCAUACGAUCUAUGGAUGAAAGCGGGGGAUCGCAAGACCUCGCGCGAUUGGAGCGGCCGAUAUCAGAUUAGGUAGUUGGUGGGGUAAAGGCUCACCAAGCCAACGAUCUGUAGCUGGUCUGAGAGGACGACCAGCCACACUGGAACUGAGACACGGUCCAGACUCCUACGGGAGGCAGCAGUGGGGAAUUUUGGACAAUGGACGCAAGUCUGAUCCAGCCAUUCCGCGUGCAGGAUGAAGGCCCUCGGGUUGUAAACUGCUUUUGUACGGAACGAAAAGGUCUCUAUUAAUACUAGGGGCUCAUGACGGUACCGUAAGAAUAAGCACCGGCUAACUACGUGCCAGCAGCCGCCGUAA
rnacentral:rRNA from 1 species